CCUCGGAUCAGGUAGGAAUACCCGCUGAACUUAAGCAUAUCAAUAAGCGGAGGAAAAGAAACCAACAGGGAUUGCCCUAGUAACGGCGAGUGAAGCGGCAACAGCUCAAAUUUGAAAUCUGGCCCUCGGGUCCGAGUUGUAAUUUGUAGAGGAUGCUUCUGGCGCGGUGCCUUCCGAGUUCCCUGGAACGGGACGCCUUAGAGGGUGAGAGCCCCGUACGGUUGGACACCAAGCCUCUGUGAAGCUCCUUCGACGAGUCGAGUAGUUUGGGAAUGCUGCUCUAAAUGGGAGGUAAAUUUCUUCUAAAGCUAAAUAUUGGCCAGAGACCGAUAGCGCACAAGUAGAGUGAUCGAAAGAUGAAAAGCACUUUGAAAAGAGGGUUAAAUAGCACGUGAAAUUGUUGAAAGGGAAGCGUUUGCGACCAGACCUCUUCCUGGCGGAUCAUCCGGUGUUCUCACCGGUGCACUCCGCCAGGUCUAGGCCAGCAUCGGUUUCCGCAGGGGGAUAAAAGCUCCAGGAACGUAGCUCCCUCGGGAGUGUUAUAGCCUUCUGCAUAAUACCCUUGCGGGGACCGAGGACCGCGCUUCGGCAAGGAUGCUGGCGUAAUGGUCGUCAACGACCCGUCUUGAAACACGGACCAAGGAGUCGAACAUUUGUGCGAGUGUUUGGGUGUCAAACCCUCACGCGUAAUGAAAGUGAACGGAGGUGAGAGCCCUUACGGGUGCAUCAUCGACCGAUCCUGAUGUCUUCGGAUGGAUUUGAGUAAGAGCAUAACUGUUCGGACCCGAAAGAUGGUGAACUAUGCGUGGAUAGGGUGAAGCCAGAGGAAACUCUGGUGGAGGCUCGCAGCGGUUCUGACGUGCAAAUCGAUCGUCAAAUCUGCGCAUGGGGGCGAAAGACUUAUCGAAC
rnacentral:rRNA from 1 species